GCAAUGAGGUAUCACCUCACGUCGGUCAGAAUGUCCAUCAUUAAAAGGUUUACAAACAAUAAAUGCUGGAGAAGGUGUGGAGAAAAGGGAACCCUCCUACACUGUUGGUGGGAAUGUAAAUUGGUGUGGUCACUAUGGAGGACAGCAUGCUGAUUCCUCAAAAGACUAAAAAUAGACUUACAAUACGAUCCAGCAAUCCCACUCUUGGGCA